AACUGGUGAUGGAUGGAUAGUGAGCAAACAGUCUAAAAGCAUUCAUCAAAAGGACUCUUCCCUUCCAGAAAUGCUUGGUUAAGCAGAUCCCUUUGAAAACCCGAGAGUUGAAAAAUUCGAGGUGGGAACUGCUGAACAAGACGUGAUACGAGACGAUGAUGGGUCUCUUCCAUCUUCUGAGUCUGUACGUUCGUUGGCCACCAUGGACUUCAAUGAAACAUCCCCUUCCUGGCUCCCUCUACUGCCCCCUGGGAUGGCAGCCCUAUGGGCUCUGACAUUCUUCCUUCAGGCCAUGUUUCCGGGCUCACACUAUCUGGGUUCUGCUUACCUCUGUGCUUCACCGCAUUCCACGAGCUAAGACGUGAAAGAAGCUCUGUGAGUUGUUUAUUUUUAACACACCCACGAGAUGAACUUCCCCAGACAGUUAGGUAGCAGCGUUUCAGUGUGAUGAUAUGGUUUCAUUUAAGAAGAAGGGUCUAAAUCAAAAUCCUGUGAAAUGUGUUGUUUUGAUCCUGCCAAAGAUGUGCGCCACUGUUUUAUUUCCCUUUUAACCUUUCCGCUUAGAAAAGUUGACUUCUGUACUCUCUAGGCAAAGAUUAAAGGCUUGUUUAUUGCAAGUUUAUAACAUGACCCUUGGCUAAAUAGACUUUUUGUAUGCCAAGGGGAGGAAUUGGGACCACAAACCUGUCUCCAUUUUAGUCCUGUAAGGUAUAUUUUGUGUUAUAGUAACAACAUUCUAAAGUGAAAUAUGCAGCAUUUUCUUUUUUUAAAUACCCUAUGGGCAUGGCAAUAACUAUCUUUUCAUGUAUUUUUGACCUUAACACUAUAGAUGCCCUGUGGGAGCUGUCAAAAUAAUGUAGGGUUCCUCUUAGGAUGUAAAGGACACACUACCCUCUUCCUGUCUAUAUUUUUCCUCCCUGUGGGCACCCCCUCACUUUCCCUCCCUCUGUUUGUAGAAUUGUUAAAGUUACUGUUUUAUGGAAGUCCCUAACUGCAAUCUUUUUUCUUGCCUCCUACUAAUUUAUACGCCCUCACUUCCUACUUUUAUGAUACAAUUUUCUGAAUGCCUGGUUUCCCUGAGGACUUCUGAAAAAAAUUAUAUCAGGUUGCUAAUAGAAAUGUGUUUUUUUCUACUUCAUAUAAAGUAGUGACUUUGAGUGUUCAUCAUUGACUUUACCUCUGUGUUUGUAAGUUUCUUUACUCAAGUUUUUUGUUAAUUACUCUUAGGUCCUCAAUUUAUGUAAAAUGUGGAUGACAACACUUCCAUAUAUCGCACGAGUUCACAAGAUUAUUGGGAGGCUCACAUGUGGUAAUAUUUAUGAAAGCGUUUUAAAGGGGAGAAAUUCUGGCACAAGUACAAGAUAAUGAUAUAAUUGCUCUCCCCAAGUCAGAAGUAUUAAAGGGAGUCCUUCAUAGAUAAAACAGAAAUUCUGUAGUCAAAGCUCUCAGGUAAAACUGAAAACAAGACCAAACAAGACAAAACCCCCAAAACCAAAUUGGUGUGUUGCUUGUCUGUUGAUUUGUCCUUUCCUAGCACAUUGUUCCUUACCCACCCAACUCUAAGCUGUCCUCCCUGUGAGAACAUCCCACUUAGCACCUCCUUUUCUGGGGCCACAUCCCAUGCUCUGUGCUCUCUUCUCUCAUCGAAACCUGUCUGUCCCAGUGUCCAUUCAUUCUGGCCUUCCUCUCUGCUCAGUACAGGGUGGUUCAGUGCUAAGCACGUCUGAACACACGUCAGAGGACUUACCUACAACCAGAAGCACUUUGUUAGGUCUCAGUUCCCAAUUUCCUUAUCUGUUAAGUGAAUGGCGAUGGACUGGAUGAUUCCUCUAAGGCUCUUUCUAGUUUCAAAAUCAGUGAUUCUAGUUCUAUACUAAGCCCAGGUUAAAUGCCAAUCCUCUUAGAUCUUGGAAUUGCAAAAGACUUUUCUCCCUGGGAAUAAAUACAACCAUAGAAUUUUUUGAAGGCUAGUGAGGAGGUACUUUUGUGAAGGCAGUUCUUUUGGCGUCUCCAGUCAGACCCUGUACACUGUCUAUGCAUCAUGCUGCUCUUACCCACAGGGCAGUGCUGGUUUGUUCUCUUAAUCCCAAAGUUUAGAACAAUCUUCUCUAGUUAGUACACUCCCUGAAGAGUUCUUAAAAAGGAGAGUUAGGUCUGUCAUAAAUAGUAGUUACAGAUUAUUAGAGAAUGAAACAAACAGCUCUGACCUGACUGUGAACAUC